CCUACGGGUGGCAGCAGUGAGGAAUAUUGGUCAAUGGCCGGGAGGCUGAACCAGCCAAGUCGCGUGAGGGAAGACGGCCCUACGGGUUGUAAACCUCUUUUGUCAGGGAGCAAGGGGCAGGUCGUGACCUGCGGUGAGAAUACCUCAAGAAAAAGCAUCGGCAAACUCCGUGCCAGCAGCCGCGGGAAUACGGAGGAGGCGCGCGUGAUCCGGAUUUAUUGGGUUUAAAGGGGGCGCAGGCGGCGGCACUAGUCAGCGGUAAAAUCGCGGGGCUAAACCCCGCUUCGCCGUUGAAACUGUGUCCCUUGAGUGCGCGAAGGGUAGGCGGAAUGCGUGGUGUAGCGGUGAAAGGCAUAGAUAUCACGCAGAACUCCGAUCGCGAAGGCAGCCUACCGGCGCGCAACUGACGCUGAUGCACGAAAGCGUGGGUAUCGAACAGGAUUAGAUACCCCAGUAGUC
rnacentral:rRNA from 1 species